rnacentral:lncRNA from 1 species
CCGGCGCCGGGGCGCGCGGCAGCAGCCGUUGGGGUCCCGCGCGCGAGCGCCCGCCCCCAACAGCCGCCUCUGAGGGACCCCAACGGUCCCCGCCCACCUCAUCCGCAGGGGAGGGCCGGAGCUGUCACGCCCGCGGGCCUCCUCUGUGCGCUCUUCAUCAAACACCGGGGAGCUCCGAGCGGGAGGUGUCGCGGGAAAGCAGCGCCCUCCCUCUGGGCUGCCUCCGUCGCCAGCCCCAGCCCCGCAGGUAGGGCACCGGCACCCCGGUGGAGUGAAGCGCCCGCCGCCCGCGCCCCUGCGGGUUACCGGUGCCAAGUACUGCGGCGGGGUGGGUGCUGCUGCUCUGCACCCAGCGCCGCUCGCUGCUCAGCGCCAGCCCCCGAGGAAGCACCUUGCAGCCAAGAAAACGAAGUGUGGCGAGGGAUCACUUAUGAAUAUAUUGAAGAGACCAGAUCUCCCAUUGCUGAGCCUAUGUCAGUGAAUACUGAGACUUUCUUACCUUUCUCCUGGCGUAUAUGCCCUGCAAAGCAAGGGACAAUGGAAUCAAGAAAUAAACAUCUGACCACGUCACAAAUCCAAUUAUCUCUGACAAGGCUAGUAAAGUCAAGUGAAAAACAAAGCAACACUGUCCGGAAGAAGAUUUGUAUUUUGGAUCAUACUGGAGAAGGAUUGCCUCAGAGAUCAAGAAAAGGAACAAGAAAAGAAUAAAUAAUGUGCAAGACUGCUUCUGCAAAGAAUUAAAAAUUAAACAUAUCAUUAUGCUGGUGCAUUUUUCUAACUGCAUUGUAACUUGGUCUUCUUGCUACAACUUUUGACACAAAUAGAUUUUUAGCAAAUGGAUAUAUGUUGUACAUGCAGCAUAGGCAUAUGCUGACAUAUAACUGCCAUAUGUCAGUCCACGCAGAUUCUGUAGCUCCUGAGACAUGUUUCGUUCUUUAAAUAGCUUUCCAUCUUUCUAACAUGGAACUAACUUUUGGAAGACAUGACUACUUGCACUAUGCUUUUUCCCUCCAUUCUCUGAAGCCAUGGUCAUUUACGACUGAUUUAGGGUAGGCAGAAAGGACAGAUAGAAACAAGCUAAAAUGGCUUUCAGAGAUUAUUGCUACAGUUAAAUAUAUUUGGAACUUGAAGGGUCAACAUAAACUAUUGAAACAAAAUAAAAAUCUACCUUAAUCCUUUGUAAGUAAAGAA